UACGUAGGGUGCGAGCGUUGUUCGGAAUUACUGGGCGUAAAGGGCUCGUAGGCGGCCAACUAAGUCCGACGUGAAAUCCCCAGGCUUAACCUGGGAACUGCGUCGGAUACUGGAUGGCUUGAAUUCGGGAGAGGGAUGCAGAAUUCCAGGUGUAGCGGUGAAAUGCGUAGAUAUCUGGAGGAAUACCGGUGGCGAAGGCGGCAUCCUGGACCGACAUUGACGCUGAUGAGCGAAAGCUAGGGGAGCAAACGGG
rnacentral:rRNA from 1 species